GGCAGCGGGACGCGGAUGUGUCCAGCGGAGCGUCGCAGCCGGUGUCAGUCCGCCAUGCUGCCGGGAACCAGCGGUCAACACGCGGGACGACGCGCGGCUGCGACGGAGACAGACGCUCGGCAACAAGUGUGAGAGCGUCAGUGUUUCCUGCUGUUCAGCACGUGACCAGCAGGGGGUGGUGUGACACCGCGACUGAGCCACUGAACACGGAGGAGUGAAAGAGAAGAAGAUCAGAUCAUCAGAACUUUAAUAUCUCUGUUCAUAAUCAAACACAUUAAAGAUAAUAACUUUUUUAAUUCUACACACACAUAUAUACAUAUAUAUAUGUAUACAUAUAUAUAUAUGUAUACAUAUAUAUACCAUCAUAAAAGAUCCUGAUGUUCCUCCUGUAAACAGCAGAUGGCGCUGCAAGCCACCAAAUAAAACCCUCCGACGUGAAUUAACAAGAAAAAAGAACAAAAGAAAAAUAUGAAAAUGAAAGAAAUGAAUUUUCUGACUGUAACUGAGCUGAUUUGGAAAAUGAAGGUGAACAAAAGUCAUGAAAAAUGUAUUAAGUAAUUUUCAUUUGUACUUUCUGCAGUAAUGAAACAACACGCGUGAGGAGCAAAGUGAAGAAGAAAAAGAGUGAAAUUAAAAUCAAUACAGAAAA